rnacentral:snRNA from 1 species
UUCCCUCAGGAUAGCUGGA